rnacentral:rRNA from 1 species
AUUGAACGCUGGCGGCAGGCCUAACACAUGCAAGUCGAGCGGUAGCACAGAGAGCUUGCUCUCGGGUGACGAGCGGCGGACGGGUGAGUAAUGUCUGGGAAACUGCCUGAUGGAGGGGGAUAACUACUGGAAACGGUAGCUAAUACCGCAUAACGUCGCAAGACCAAAGUGGGGGACCUUCGGGCCUCAUGCCAUCAGAUGUGCCCAGAUGGGAUUAGCUAGUAGGUGGGGUAAUGGCUCACCUAGGCGACGAUCCCUAGCUGGUCUGAGAGGAUGACCAGCCACACUGGAACUGAGACACGGUCCAGACUCCUACGGGAGGCAGCAGUGGGGAAUAUUGCACAAUGGGCGCAAGCCUGAUGCAGCCAUGCCGCGUGUGUGAAGAAGGCCUUCGGGUUGUAAAGCACUUUCAGCGGGGAGGAAGGCGAUAAGGUUAAUAACCUCAUCGAUUGACGUUACCCGCAGAAGAAGCACCGGCUAACUCCGUGCCAGCAGCCGCGGCAAUACGGAGGGUGCAAGCGUUAAUCGGAAUUACUGGGCGUAAAGCGCACGCAGGCGGUCUGUCAAGUCGGAUGUGAAAUCCCCGGGCUCAACCUGGGAACUGCAUUCGAAACUGGCAGGCUAGAGUCUUGUAGAGGGGGGUAGAAUUCCAGGUGUAGCGGUGAAAUGCGUAGAGAUCUGGAGGAAUACCGGUGGCGAAGGCGGCCCCCUGGACAAAGACUGACGCUCAGGUGCGAAAGCGUGGGGAGCAAACAGGAUUAGAUACCCUGGUAGUCCACGCCGUAAACGAUGUCGAUUUGGAGGUUGUGCCCUUGAGGCGUGGCUUCCGGAGCUAACGCGUUAAAUCGACCGCCUGGGGAGUACGGCCGCAAGGUUAAAACUCAAAUGAAUUGACGGGGGCCCGCACAAGCGGUGGAGCAUGUGGUUUAAUUCGAUGCAACGCGAAGAACCUUACCUGGUCUUGACAUCCACAGAACUUUCCAGAGAUGGAUUGGUGCCUUCGGGAACUGUGAGACAGGUGCUGCAUGGCUGUCGUCAGCUCGUGUUGUGAAAUGUUGGGUUAAGUCCCGCAACGAGCGCAACCCUUAUCCUUUGUUGCCAGCGGUCCGGCCGGGAACUCAAAGGAGACUGCCAGUGAUAAACUGGAGGAAGGUGGGGAUGACGUCAAGUCAUCAUGGCCCUUACGACCAGGGCUACACACGUGCUACAAUGGCAUAUACAAAGAGAAGCGACCUCGCGAGAGCAAGCGGACCUCAUAAAGUAUGUCGUAGUCCGGAUUGGAGUCUGCAACUCGACUCCAUGAAGUCGGAAUCGCUAGUAAUCGUAGAUCAGAAUGCUACGGUGAAUACGUUCCCGGGCCU